AUGUGUGCAUAUAUAUGUGUAUAUAUAUACAUAUAUAUACAUAUACAUAUACACACACAUAUAUAUAUGUAUAUAUUUAUUUAUUAACUUAUUUAUAUACACACUGACCUGUUGGCUAUUUCUUCCUCGCCGGCGCAGUGACAUCAUUAGCACAAAUACCAAGUACAUUCGAAAUAAUAGAAACCACUUCUGUAGAACAUGUUCUUUCUCUGUAGGAGGAAAAAAUGUAAGGCUUUUGGUACAAGAUCGAUGACUAUUGACUAUCGUGACAGUAUAAUUCUUGCUAUGUCACAGCAGGACAGGAAUCAAGCAAGAGAGAGUCUUGGGAAGAUAAGAGCAUUCUAAGACAGUGAAACACCUGCUGAAAAUUUUAGAGGCUUCACGGCCGCAGUUCCUAUGCCACCUGUGUCAUCCUUAACCAUGCAAUACGCAGUUCUCGAUUUCAUGUCGGAGAACCCUUUUGCUUCAGUCAACACAGCGCUUCCCUUCGGGGGAAAAGGGGAAACCACAGACCAGUGCUCGAUAGGGUUAUGGAAUCGCAUUGCAGUCAAAGGAAGAGUGAUAUGCUGGAUCAAAAACUUUCAUAUACUUUAUCUACUAUUUUUCAUCAUUAAAUACUAUUUUUGCACUAUUUUAUAACUAAUAAAAGUAAUAUUUUUU